rnacentral:rRNA from 1 species
UAAGGAAUAUUGGACAAUGGACGGAAGUCUGAUCCAGCCAUGCCGCGUGAAGGAUGACUGCCCUAUGGGUUGUAAACUUCUUUUGGACGAGAAUAAACCUAUUCCUGCGGGAGUAGCUGAAGGUAUCGUCAGAAUAAGCACCGGCUAACUCCGUGCCAGCAGCCGCGGUAAUACGGAGGGUGCAAGCGUUAUCCGGAAUCACUGGGUUUAAAGGGUGCGUAGGCGGUUAGAUAAGUCCGUUGUGAAAGCCACCAGCUUAACUGGUAGAACUGCGAUGGAUACUGUUUAACUUGAAUCAGGUUGAGGCAGGCGGAAUGCGACAUGUAGCGGUGAAAUGCAUAGAUAUGUCGUGGAACACCGAUUGCGAAGGCAGCUUACUAGACCUAGAUUGACGCUGAGG